GACGUAGCCCACCGUCUGAGUGUCAUAUGAAAGCUUAUUAGGAUACAGAGGAAAAAAAGGCACACAGUGGGGAAAAAAGCAUGAAAUUUCAACUUCAAUCUCGAAAUUUCCACUUUAACUACUUAGUUUAUUUUGUCAUUAAAGUAGAACAUCAUAAACUUCAUCUUAAAAUCGUUUAAUUAACCAGUUUCUCAAAUCACAUCGUAAUUAAAGUAGCACAUUAAAUGCUUUGUUUUGUAUGUGUUCUUCUAUGUGCUCUGUAUCUGAAUCACUACGUGCUUCUUAAACCGGCUUUCUCUUCAUCCGACAGGACACAGAAUCCAUUACAUUUGUGAUAUUACAGCUCUCUGAAUAACUAAAAUACUGAGAUGUAUACGUGAUAUCAUUUUCAUGAUGAUAGGAGCUAAAGCACAUUAUUAAACAUGGGAACAGACCGCCUUGUGCUCAUGACACAAGCGUUUAACUUUUGCCGAAAUUUGCCGCUGCGUUUUUAGCUGUGUCAUUAUUUUCUCUUUCUGUUUUAUAUUCAAUAUA